GACGAACGCUGGCGGCGUGCUUAACACAUGCAAGUCGAACGGUAAGGCCCUUCGGGGUACACGAGUGGCGAACGGGUGAGUAACACGUGGGUGAUCUGCCCUGCACUUCGGGAUAAGCCUGGGAAACUGGGUCUAAUACCGGAUAGGACCACUGCCUGCAUGGGUGGUGGUGGAAUGCUUUUGCGGUGUGGGAUGGACCCGCGGCCUAUCAGCUUGUUGGUGGGGUGAUGGCCUACCAAGGCGACGACGGGUAGCCGGCCUGAGAGGGUGACCGGCCACACUGGGACUGAGAUACGGCCCAGACUCCUACGGGAGGCAGCAGUGGGGAAUAUUGCACAAUGGGCGCAAGCCUGAUGCAGCGACGCCGCGUGAGGGAUGACGGCCUUCGGGUUGUAAACCUCUUUCAGCACCGACGAAGCGCAAGUGACGGUAGGUGCAGAAGAAGGACCGGCCAACUACGUGCCAGCCGCCGCAGUAA
rnacentral:rRNA from 1 species